GACGAACGCUGGCGGCGUGCCUAAUACAUGCAAGUCGAACGGUUCUAUUCUUGAAGCUUGCUUCAAGGAUGGGAUAGUGGCGGACGGGUGAGUAACACGUAGGCAACCUGGCGUCAAGACCGGGAUAACCCGCGGAAACGCGAGCUAAGACCGGAUAGGAAACCCCCGCACCUGCGGGAGUUUGGAAACCUGGUGCAAGCCAGGACUUGACGAUGGGCCUGCGGCGCAUUAGCUAGUAGGUGAGGUAACGGCUCACCUAGGCGACGAUGCGUAGCCGACCUGAGAGGGUGAUCGGCCACACUGGGACUGAGACACGGCCCAGACUCCUACGGGUGGCAG
rnacentral:rRNA from 1 species